GCCAAGGCUCAGACGAGCUUGGCACACGGGCGCCGGCGGUGUCCGGCGCUCUCGGAUCCAUGUUGCUCAAAGAGGAUAUGGCUAUGAGAA
rnacentral:sRNA from 1 species